AUCCUGGGGCCGGAGAAGGUCCCAAGGGUCCGGCUGUUCGCCGGUUAAAGUGGUACAUGAGCUGGGUUCAGAACGUCGUGAGACAGUUCGGUCUGUAUCCGUGGUGGGCGUUGGAGUGUUGAGGGGGCCCGACCCUAGUACGAGAGGACCGGGUUGGACUGACCGCUCGUGCCCCGGCUGUCACGCCAGUGGCAGCGCCGGUUAGCGAUGUCGGGUAGGGAUAACCGCUGAAAGCAUCUAAGUGGGAAGCCCGCCCCAAGAUGAACACUCCUGGACCGUAAGGUCCCUAAAGGGCCGUGGUAGACGACCACGUUGAUAGGCGGCAGGUGUAAGGUGUGCAAGCACUUCAGCCGAGCCGUACUAAUCGCCCGUGUAGCUUGAUCUC
rnacentral:rRNA from 1 species